rnacentral:tRNA from 1 species
GCAGUGGUGGUUCAGUGAUAGAAUUCUCACCUCCCAUGUGUGAGACCCAGGUUCAAUAUCUAACCAAUGCA